GUACAAAUGAAAUCUUUCUGCCACAAAAUUAACUGAAUCAGCAGGGCAGAGCCCAUCAUCUCAGACCGAGCGUUGCAGAACUUCAAGAUUAUGCCAGGAGAACGGCAGCCAGGAAAUAUUGUCAUCGCUGUAUUGGCAGUGAUUGUAUACAAUCAAGCUUUAAAACUAACAAGAAAAGCAGCACAGAGCUGUCAUUACCAACACGCUCUUCAUAAAGGGACUUACACAUGGAUUUCAAGCUGCAAGAUGCCUUGAUGUGUAGAAAAG